UACACGACCGUACCGCAAACCGACACUGGUGCGCGAGAUGAGUAUUCUAAGGCGCUUGAGAGAACUCAGGAGAAGGAACUCGGCAAAUUGACACCGUAACUUCGGAAGAAGGUGUGCCUUUAGUAGGUAACCAUUUACUUGGGGAGCCCAAUGAGGCUGCAAAAAAUCGGUGGCUGCAACUGUUUAUUAAAAACACAGCACUCUGCUAAGAAAAGUCGACGUAUAGGGUGUGACGCCUGCCCGGUGCUGGAAGAUUAAAUGAUGGGGUGCAAGCUCUUGAUUGAAGUCCCAGUAAACGGCGGCCGUAACAAUAACGGUCCUAAGGUAGCGAAAUUCCUUGUCGGGUAAGUUCCGACCUGCACGAAUGGCGUAAUGAUGGCCACACUGUCUCCUCCUGAGACUCAGCGAAGUUGAAAUGUUUGUGAUGAUGCAAUCUCCCCGCGGAAAGACGGAAAGACCCCAUGAACCUUUACUGUAGCUUUGUAUUGGACUUUGAACAGAUCUGUGUAGGAUAGGUGGGAGGCUUUGAAGUGUGGUCGCUAGAUCGCAUGGAGCCAACGUUGAAAUACCACCCUGGUGUGUUUGAGGUUCUAACCUAGGUCCAUUAUCUGGAUCGGGGACAGUGCAUGGUAGGCAGUUUGACUGGGGCGGUCUCCUCCCAAAGUGUAACGGAGGAGUUCGAAGGUACGCUAGGUACGGUCGGACAUCGUGCUAAUAGUGCAAUGGCAUAAGCGUGCUUAACUGCGAGACUGACAAGUCGAGCAGAUGCGAAAGCAGGACAUAGUGAUCCGGUGGUUCUGUAUGGAAGGGCCAUCGCUCAACGGAUAAAAGGUACUCUGGGGAUAACAGGCUGAUACCGCCCAAGAGUUCAUAUCGACGGCGGUGUUUGGCACCUCGAUGUCGGCUCAUCUCAUCCUGGGGCUGUAGCCGGUCCCAAGGGUAUGGCUGUUCGCCAUUUAAAGAGGUACGUGAGCUGGGUUUAAAACGUCGUGAGACAGUUUGGUCCCUAUCUUCCGUGGGCGCUGCAGAUUUGAGGAAGCCUGCUCCUAGUACGAGAGGACCGGAGUGGACGAACCUCUGGUGUAUCGGUUGUCACGCCAGUGGCAUUGCCGAGUAGCUAAGUUCGGAAGAGAUAACCGCUGAAAGCAUCUAAGCGGGAAACUCGUUUCAAGAUUAGAUCUGCCGGGGCCUUGAGCCCCCUAAAGAGUCGUUCAAGACCAGGACGUUGAUAGGUCAGGUGUGGAAGUGA
rnacentral:rRNA from 1 species